CCUACGGGAGGCAGCAGUAGGGAAUCUUCCACAAUGGGCGAAAGCCUGAUGGAGCAAUGCCGCGUGUGUGAUGAAGGGUUUCGGCUCGUAAAACACUGUUAUAAGAGAAGAACGGCACUGAGAGUAACUGUUCAGUGUGUGACGGUAUCUUACCAGAAAGGAACGGCUAAAUACGUGCCAGCAGCCGCGGUAAU
rnacentral:rRNA from 1 species